rnacentral:lncRNA from 1 species
CCACUGUGCUGGGCCAGGGAUCCAACCUGUGUUCCAGUGCUCCCAAGAUGCUGCUGAUCCCAUUGCCCCAAAGUGGAAACUCCUGGAAUUCUUUGUCUAUAACUCAUUUAAUAAAUUUAAGAGCAUGCAUCAGUGAUCUUCAUCCUCAUAGAAAGUGAACAGCACCCAUUUUAUUUCCUUCACCCAGCCCCACACAGAAAUAGGAUGCCCUUUAAGAUUUUAUCUCCAGCUUUUCUUCAAUUUUAAAGAUAUUUUCCUGGGCCUAGGCUUUUUAAUUUUUCUGAAGCAAAAAUGAAUAAAUACUGUGUCUAUGGUGGAUAAAAAAAGAUAAGUAAUCUUACUAGUUUGCCAAAUAUACACUUCCAAAAAAAAAAAAGGAGGCAUUUACUGUCUUAAGUCAGGCUAAAAAUAAUAUUAUUUAAGGGUGUAUAGGUAAUUGAAGAAAUCAAGUUUUCCCUUCACUUACUAUCUGGAUAAUUGCCUAAUUUUCCCACUGUCAUCAUCCUGUCCUGCUAGUGUUGCUUUAUACACAACCUGGUCUUCCCUUUUGUUGUAUUUAUUUUUUCUUUAAGACACCCUUCAAAUAUUAAAAAAAAAAGAGAGAGGCUAUACAAUUUGCAUCAUGACUUAAAACUAUUAGAAGAUAGGAAUUCAGUAGUUGAGACAAUGCGUUUCAAAACUCCAAAAGAUAACAGGUUUAAAGAAAUUGGCAUAUGUUAGUGAUUAUGCAAUCAUUCAUUUCCCACAGAUUUCUUUUUAUAGGAAACUUUGGAAAAUCCCAGAAGAACUGACCGAGUCAUUUCAACCACAACAGGUUUCUUUCAACAUCAAAAUCAUGGGUAGGAGUGGGCGAGGAAUAAUUUUCUUUCUUUUUUUUUUUAAAGGCAUGGGCAGCCUGGUUCUGAGUGUGCAAAGCUGUGGCUUCCCCUCCUAUAGACGCCUUCUGAACAGCAAAUCUGACUUCCUCCUCAGACCAAGGCAUCCUGAAAACAUCCAAGCAGAGGAAGCAUUUUUUCACCAUGACAUGGGAAAGGGCCACAGAGAUCCAAAUGGAAACGGACAUUUCAUACCAAUGCAUUGGAUGAUAACUGGUACAUCGUCAAGGGACAGAAGUGUCAACAGGUUUUUGUGACCAAGUACAUUCAUCUGAGCUGUUAGCUGCUACGCUUCACUGCCUCCUCCUAUGAUCUGCUUGAUGGAGACCCCUGGAGAAAAUUUGUGCGUGCAUACUGUAUGUGAACUUUAGAUAAAUAAAUAAACACACGAACCAGCUUCCA